rnacentral:rRNA from 1 species
CAAUAGCGUAUAUUAAAGUUGUUGCAGUUAAAAAGCUCGUAGUUGGAUUUCUGGUAGGAGCGACCGUGCCGAACUUGAUUGUUCGAGUAUUGUGUUGUCUUCAACCAUCCUCGUGGAGAACUUUUCUAACAUUAACUUGUUGGGAUUGGGACCCGCGUCGUUUACUGUGAAAAAAUUAGAGUGUUUAAAGCAGGCAUUAGCUUGAAUACAUUAGCAUGGAAUAAUAAGAUAGGACUUUGGUACUAUUUUGUUGGUUUGCAUACCAAAUUAAUGAUCAACAGGAACAGUUUGAGGAUAUUCGUAUGAACAUGUCAGAGGUGAAAUUCUUGGAUUUUGAUCAGACGAACUACUGCGAAAGCAUUUAUCAAGGAUGUUUUCAUUAA